rnacentral:ncRNA from 2 species
GAGUAAAGAUGUCUCCGAGCGUUGCGACCUACAGGAAGCGAAUCCCCAUGGUCGCAAGGCCGAUAGGGUCAGCAGGGAAACCGGCUGGCCUCCCGCUUGGAAAGGAGAUCCAAGGGGCGCCUG